GACGAACGCUGGCGGCGUGCCUAAUACAUGCAAGUAGAACGCUGAAGGAGGAGCUUGCUUCUCCGGAUGAGUUGCGAACGGGUGAGUAACGCGUAGGUAACCUGCCUGGUAGCGGGGGAUAACUAUUGGAAACGAUAGCUAAUACCGCAUAAGAGUAGAUGUUGCAUGACAUUUACUUAAAAGGUGCAAUUGCAUCACUACCAGAUGGACCUGCGUUGUAUUAGCUAGUUGGUGAGGUAACGGCUCACCAAGGCGACGAUACAUAGCCGACCUGAGAGGGUGAUCGGCCACACUGGGACUGAGACACGGCCCAGACUCCUACGGGAGGCAGCAGUAGGGAAUCUUCGGCAAUGGACGGAAGUCUGACCGAGCAACGCCGCGUGAGUGAAGAAAGGUUUUCGGAUCGUAAAAGCUCUGUUAUAAAGAGAAAGAAACGAAGUGUG
rnacentral:rRNA from 1 species